GAUGAAGAACGCAGCGAAAUGCGAUAAGUAGUGUGAAUUGCAGAAUUCAGUGAAUCAUCGAAUCUUUGAACGCACAUUGCGCCCCUUGGUAUUCCAUGGGGCAUGCCUGUUCGAGCGUCAUUUGUACCUUCAAGCUUUGCUUGGUGUUGGGUGUUUGUCUCGCCUUUGCGUGUAGACUCGCCUUAAAAUAAUUGGCAGCCGGCGUAUUGAUUUCGGAGCGCAGUACAUCUCGCGCUUUGCACUCAUAACGACAGCGUCCAAAAGUACAUUUUACACUCUUGACCUCGGAUCAGGUAGGGAUACCCGCUGAACUUAAGCAUAUCCAUAAGCGGAGGA
rnacentral:misc_RNA from 1 species